rnacentral:rRNA from 1 species
AUUGAACGCUGGCGGAAUGCUUUACACAUGCAAGUCGAACGGCAGCACGGGGGCAACCCUGGUGGCGAGUGGCGAACGGGUGAGUAAUACAUCGGAACGUGCCCAGUCGUGGGGGAUAACGUAGCGAAAGUUACGCUAAUACCGCAUACGAUCUACGGAUGAAAGCGGGGGACCGUAAAGCCUCGCGCGUUUGGGACGGCCGAUGUCAGAUUAGGUAGUUGGGGAGGUAAAGGCUCACCAAGCCAACUAUCGGUAGCUGGUAUGAGAGGACGAACAGCCACACUGGGACUGAGACACGGCCCAGACUCCUACGGGAGGCAGCAGUGGGGAGUUUUGGACAAUGGGCGCAAGCCUGAUCCAGCCAUUCCGCGUGCAGGACGAAGGCCUUCGGGUUGUAAACUGCUUUUGUACGGAACGAAAAGGCUCUGGUUAAUACCUGGGGCUCAUGACGGUACCGUAAGAAUAAGCACCGGCUAACUACGUGCCAGCCGCCGCAGUAA